UCUCCUUUGAAACUUGAAGGCUUUGGGCAUUUAAGAAUCAGUGUUUCAGCUGCAAUGCUUCUGAGAGGAAGGGAGAUUUUCAAAGAGCCUUUGUCAGCCCAGGAGUGAGUGAGUUAAUCCAUCCACCUGCCCCAACUGAGAGCAGAAGACACUGUUUAUAGGACUGAAGACAGAGGUGCUGGGUGCAAGGACUGAGACUAAGAAUGGAAAUGCGAGAACCAGGAUUCAGGGUAAAAGAAAAAAAGAAACUGCCUGGCAUACAGUAAGGAUUUAUUACUCCUCCUCCCUUCCCAAGAAGAAUGUGUUGCCCCCGAGACUUCUGGUUGAUCUUAAGGUGAGGAACCAACAGAGAGUAUCUGCAAGUAAGGGAUGGGUGCAUA
rnacentral:lncRNA from 10 species